rnacentral:lncRNA from 1 species
CUUGCUGAAGGCAGAGUAUACUCAUACUCUGAAUUGUUCUAAAUGGAUUUUUGAGGACUUUAGGAUUUUUGAGGUAGCAAGAAUAUUUCCUCUGACUUCAGUGAUACAAUCAGAUCUGUGGUGCUUCCCCAAUUACCACAUGCUUCAGCAAAGGAAGCCCUUCAACAAUGGCUUUUUUAAUGAAAGAAGUUGGGCAUGGACAGACCUGGAAGUCGUGUCAGCCAUGAAGGUCAAUGGACAUAUCUGUGAGGAUGUGGCUGGAGGUACUUGGAGAAGGAGAAAGCAUCAAAACCACUCCUCCCUGUGUGUACAUCUAUAUCCAGAGGUAAGUCAGGAUACUGAAAUGAGGAGAAGGGAGGGGAAAGCACAAGUUACUUGCCUUUAUAGCACUGUCAAGAACUUUUUAGUUUUCUUUGUUCAAAAGCAUUUGGGAACAAGAGGGGACAGCUUAAGAGAAAAGUUGCUCUAAUGGAGAGAGAUGUGCCAGCAGGUCAUCCUGAAACUGCACUUUAACUGUAUCACUAUGGAUCAUCC